AUACGUAGGUGGCAAGCGUUGUCCGGAAUUAUUGGGCGUAAAGCGCGCGCAGGUGGGAUGUUAAGUCAUUUGUAAAAGUGCGGGGCUCAACCCCGUAAAGCGAUUGAUACUGGCAUUCUUGAGUGCAGGAGAGGAAAGCGGAAUUCCCAGUGUAGCGGUGAAAUGCGUAGAUAUUGGGAGGAACACCAGUGGCGAAGGCGGCUUUCUGGACUGUGUCUGACACUGAGGCGCGAAAGCCAGGGGAGCGAACGGGAUUAGAUACCCCGGUAGUCCUGGCCGUAAACGAUGGGUACUAGGUGUAGGAGGUAUCGACCCUUUCUGUGCCGGAGUUAACGCAAUAAGUACCCCGCCUGGUGAGUAUGGCCGCAAGGUUGAA
rnacentral:rRNA from 1 species